rnacentral:rRNA from 1 species
UACGUAGGGCGCAAGCGUUGUCCGGAAUUAUUGGGCGUAAAGAGCUCGUAGGCGGCCUGUUGCGUCCGCUGUGAAAUCCCGGGGCUUAACCCCGGGCUUGCAGUGGAUACGGGCAGGCUGGAGGCAGGCAGGGGAGAACGGAAUUCCCGGUGUAGCGGUGAAAUGCGCAGAUAUCGGGAGGAACACCGGUGGCGAAGGCGGCAUUCUGGACCAUAACUGACACUGAGAGACGAAAGCCAGGGGAGCAAACGGGG